rnacentral:rRNA from 1 species
GUAGGUGGCAAGCGUUGUCCGGAAUUAUUGGGCGUAAAGCGCGCGCAGGCGGUUCUUUAAGUCUGAUGUGAAAGCCCACGGCUCAACCGUGGAGGGUCAUUGGAAACUGGAGAACUUGAGUACAGAAGAGGAAAGCGGAAUUCCACGUGUAGCGGUGAAAUGCGUAGAGAUGUGGAGGAACACCAGUGGCGAAGGCGGCUUUCUGGUCUGUAACUGACGCUGAGGCGCGAAAGCGUGGGGAGCAAACAGGAUUAGAUACCCUGGUAGUCCACGCCGUAAACGAUGAGUGCUAAGUGUUAGGGGGUUUCCGCCCCCCUUAGUGCUGCAGCUAACGCAUUAGGCACUCCGCCUGGGAGUACGACCGCAAGGUUG